UUAUGGUCAAAUCACGAUGAAAACACCGGUUCUCGUUCGAUCACCGAAGCCUCGUAGAGCCAGGUCAGUACUUAGAUGGGGGGAUGGCGCUUGUGAACACCUGGUACUGUCAG